GACGAACGCUGGCGGCGUGCCUAAUACAUGCAAGUCGAACGGAAAGGCCCUGCUCUUGCGGCGUUCUUGAUUGCCGAACGGGUGAGUAACACGUGUGUAACCUGCCCUUGACUUUGGGAUAACUUCAGGAAACUGCGGCUAAUAUCGGAUAGGAGCUCUUGCUGCAUGGUGGGGAAUGGAAAGUUUCGGUGGUUGGGGUUGGACUCGCGGCUUAUCCGCUUGUUGGUGGGGUAGUGGCUGACCCGGGUUUGGACGGCUAGCCGGCCUGGAAGGGUGACGGGCACCAUGGGACUUAGGGACGGACCAGGAGGCCACCGGCAGGAAGGGGUGGGAAUAUUGCACAAUGGGCGGAAGCCUGAGGCAGCAACGCCGCGUGCGGGAUGACGGCCUUCGGGUUGUAAACCGCUUUCGCCUGUGACGAAGCGUGAGUGACGGUAAUGGGUAAAGAAGCACCGGCUAACUACGUG
rnacentral:rRNA from 1 species